UAUCACAUAUUUAUACAUUAAUUCUUGAUUAGGUUAAGUGUUUUUUGUUAUUAUUAUUUUCAAAUAUGUACAGUCUUGGCCAAAAUAUUGGUAUGCCAAAUAUAUUUUGGGCCAUAGCUGUGUAAAUGAUUAUUAAAUAUAUUUGUAUUCCACACAGGCAUGGUGAAAAACAUUGGCGUCUUUGGCAUGCCAAUAUUGUUUACCAUGAAGAUGACUGUUGAAGGGACACAAAGGAUUUCAGUCCCCAGCCCAGGUGAGGAAAAAAGGUUGAGAAUAAGAAUAUAACAGCGCAUAUGAACCUUCCAGUUGAGCUGUCACGGCACCAAAUAGAGGAAGUGGAGCAGAGGGUCAGAAGUCCUCAGCACCUGUACAGAAGAUUAAUGACCACCCACGGAGCCAAGGGAAGGAACGACAGACAGAAACAUUUUAGGACCUUGCAAACAAGCCACGACCUCGCCAACCAAAACAAAGCGGAUCAACGAGACGCUGGAGGAGGAGGAGGAGGGGUCGGAUAGCUCCCGUUUUGGCUCCUUCUUCUUCCUGUUUAAUCAACAGCCCC